CGUGUAGGCGGGUCUUUAAGUCAGGGGUGAAAUGCCAAGGCUCAACCUUGGAACUGCCUUUGAUACUGGAGAUCUUGAGUCCGGGAGAGGUGAGUGGAACUGCGAGUGUAGAGGUGAAAUUCGUAGAUAUUCGCAAGAACACCAGUGGCGAAGGCGGCUCACUGGCCCGGAACUGACGCUGAGACGCGAAAGCGUGGGGAGCAAACAGGAUUAGAUACCCUGGUAGUCCACGCUGUAAACGAUGGAUGCUAGCCGUUGGGGAGCUUGCUCUUCAGUGGCGCAGCUAACGCUUUAAGCAUCCCGCCUGGGAUACGGUCGCAAGAUUAAA
rnacentral:rRNA from 1 species